rnacentral:rRNA from 1 species
UACGUAGGGUGCAAGCGUUAAUCGGAAUUACUGGGCGUAAAGCGUGCGCAGGCGGUGAUGCAAGAAAGAUGUGAAAUCCCCGGGCUCAACCUGGGAACUGCCUUUGUGACUGCAUAGCUAGAGUACGGUAGAGGGGGAUGGAAUUCCGCGUGUAGCAGUGAAAUGCGUAGAUAUGCGGAGGAACACCGAUGGCGAAGGCAAUCCCCUGGACCUGUACUGACGCUCAUGCACGAAAGCGUGGGGAGCAAACAGG